rnacentral:misc_RNA from 1 species
AGUUUAGAUUUAAGACACAGUUAUUGUUGUUGUACCAUGCCCUAAGUGCACCUGGAUUGCAAAAUUCUACAAUAAAUUAAUCCAAGGGCUUAAUUCAAGAGAGAGAGAGAGGACCUUGCUUGGACAAUGCUCACCCAAUUGUGUACCAAUUGAAGCACACUUAGCACCCUUUGCUGCUAGGAAAUUACCUCAAUUUUCGCUGCUGCGUGGAACCCAAGUUUUGAGUUCUCUAGCCCAAGAAUGAAGCACUCUCAAAUUGCAAGCUACUGUGUAUUGCACUUAGACCAAAAAAACUUGCCUGACUUUUCAGUUUUUUGGCACAUAUACCCAUUGGCCACACUUUGGCCAUUAUUGGCGAUAGUGUAACUUCCAAAAGGAAGUUUUGCUCCACUAAACACUCUGUUUUGGGGAGUAUAAGGAGAUUUUCUAAAGAUGAGGCAAGGUAAUUAAAGAUAAGGCAUUGGAAGGUAAGGUAUCUCAAUCUACCAAUUUGGCGUGUUAAAAGGUGAAGUUUGGAAGUUUUGAAAAAUUAAAAAACUUUAACCUCUCUAAAAUACUUUUCUCACAAACAAGUCAUCUUUGUACCCAUGUUUUUCCUCGAAAAACUUCAUUCUUAUCAUAGCGAAAAUGUCCCCACAGCAUGUAUAGAAGUUCAACUCCCCCGUCCAAGCAGUUAAUCCUUUUUUAAAUUUAAUUACUAUAUUUUAACAAUACAAAAUAUAUGGCCUGGGUGGGUUGGCCCAUCAAUGGGUGAUCUAGACAGGUUUUUCUUUAUGUAACAUAAAGCCUAUUUGGUUUAACUAUUAGAUAUAGCCGAGAAAUGAUAGCUGUUACAGUUAGCUAAUAACCGAUAGCUGAUAAUUGAUUUUAGUAGAUUUAUGUUUAUUUGGUAAACUAUGCACAACUGUUGCCGUUGAGAUGUAAAACG